AUUGAACGCUGGCGGAAUGCUUUACACAUGCAAGUCGAACGGCAGCACGGGGGCAACCCUGGUGGCGAGUGGCGAACGGGUGAGUAAUACAUCGGAACGUGCCCAGUCGUGGGGGAUAACGUAGCGAAAGUUACGCUAAUACCGCAUACGAUCUAUGGAUGAAAGCGGGGGACCGUAAGGCCUCGCGCGAUUGGAGCGGCCGAUGUCAGAUUAGGUAGUUGGUGGGGUAAAGGCUCACCAAGCCGACGAUCUGUAGCUGGUCUGAGAGGACGACCAGCCAGACUGGGACUGAGGCGCGGCCCAGACUCCUACGGGGGGGAGCAGUGGGGAAUUUUGGACAAUGGGCGAAAGCCUGAGCCAGCCAUUCCGCGUGCAGGAUGAGGGCCCUCGGGUUGUAAACUGCUUUUGUACGGAACGAAACGGUCUGCUCUAAUACAGCGGGCUAAUGACGGUACCGUAAGAAUAAGCACCGGCUAACUACGUGCCAGCAGCCGCCGCAGUAA
rnacentral:rRNA from 1 species